GGGUCCCACGAGUCACUAUGUGUGACGCUGGGAGCUCAACCCAACAGACAAGAUCGAGGGAGGCAAAGCUCCCAGCAAGAGUCCCAAGACUUUCUCUGCCUCUUUAGUGCUCUGCACUGACACCCUCCAGUGACAGCAAAAGUGGAACCCCCAGCCUGAGACCAACUGAGUUACUCAGAAGGGACUUUGCUGGCUCACACUUUGCCUUGAAGUGUCAUAGGAAAAGGGAAGAGACUUUGAACUUCCUCUCCUGCCCUGCCUUUUUGCCUGAGCUGCGCUCAGUCCUGUGGCCCCCCAGGACAAUGUCCAUGAGAAGCUGUGGGGAGGGAUGGGACCCCUGCUAGCACAACAGCUGCUCUUCCAGGAGAUGCCCUCAGGCUUCGCGUGUCCCGUGGGAGCGACGCAGCGCGGUACCAAGUGGGAUUUUAAGGGGAGGAAGAAAACACGUGUCCCAGCACCUCUCCGUUUUGCCCGGCCAGCUGGAGACGGCAUCAUCUUAAGCAAGUCUAAGAGCAGCUUUGAACUUGGAGAGUGUUUGUUCACCAAAAGGUCGGUUGUUGGUACGUUACAGAGAACAACACGCCUCUUAUUUCCAGAGCCCGGCCAGCGCCAGCCAAGGGGAAAGCCUGACGUAGGAGGGAGCAGGUGACACGUGGGGGUUGGGGCAGGAGGUGACAGUCUCCUCACCCUGCCCCGAUGCCAAAAUCCCGCAGGCAGUGAGUGGCACGAGGGGAAGGAGUUGCCCGUGUGAUGCCUCAGGGCAGCUCUGCGCAGCCCCCAGUGGGUCUUUGCUGCUGCCCUGGGGUUUUCCCUGCAGAACUGCCUUUUCCUUUUUGUGGGAAGGAUCCCACAAAACUGGUUCAGGCUGGAUAUUAGGAAAAAUUUUUUCACUGAAAGGGUCAUCAGACAUUGGAAUGGGCUGCCCAGGGAGGUGGUUGAGGCACCAUCCCUGGAGGUGUUAAAAAGACAGGUUGAUGUAGUGCUGGGAGGUAUGGUUUAGUGAUGGUGUUGCUUCUUGUUUGUUGUGCGGGUGUCUAUUUUUGUCAGUUAGGUUGAUGGUUGGACAAGAUGAUCUUUGAGGUCCCUUCCAACCUAGAAAAUUCUGUGAUUCUGUGGUGCCGCUAUCCAGUUUCUGGCAAUUACU
rnacentral:lncRNA from 1 species